CAACCCUCAAGCAUAGCUUGGUGUUGGGUAAAGUCCCUAGGGGGACCCACCCUUAACUUGUAGGCGGUCAUCGCUAGCUCCCCCCAGCGUAGCAGGCUCACGCACUCGCUCGGGGACAGGCGGUUUGACCCGCUAAACCAAAAACUUUUUUCAAAGGU
rnacentral:misc_RNA from 1 species